rnacentral:lncRNA from 1 species
CUGAAGGGUUAUUGUAUUAUAUUCAAGAUGCUUUCAAUUUUUUUCCAGAUUUUGUUUCAGAAAUACAGAAGCCACUUCUGACCUAAUUGGUCAAAAUGCUGUUCCUUGGGAAAUAGCAUGGAAUGUCUUCUUUUCAAGGCAAAUGAUUUUGGGGGCUGAUGAGAGAGCUAGAAAGGGUCAUUCUGGUAGAGGAAAUAUUUUUAUCUGGGCCUCAGGAAAUGGUGGUCUGGCUAAUGACUGCAGUGGUGUGGAUGGUUAUGUGAACAGCAUUUACACAGGGGCAAAGGAUGCCAACAUAUACCUCUGCCCCACAGCUUCUGGUCUACAAGAACUACUCAGCAUCAGUGGCCACCUAGAUGAUCCAGCGAGGAAGGAGUGUGGAGGCUUCUAUCCUGAAAAAGACCUUCAAUGUGAAGCGAGGACUUCUUACAGGCAAGGAGAAAGGAGCCAUCAUAGUCUAAUGCAGAGAGAAUAAAAGGACUGGGACUGGGAAGAGAAAUGAAAAUUUCUGCCUAGUAGCUUAAUAACUCUUUGGGGAGCACAGAUGUCUAGGAAUUGGAAAGCAGAGAAGACGACACCAAGACCUCAUUGUCAUUAGGCAUUAAAAGGCUGGAAUUACGAUCUAAUGAGGAAGACUGGAUCAUAAAUGACAAAGUUUGUUGGUUUGAGUGACUAUCAACUAAAUUCUGGUGAGGAAGAGAAAGAACAAAAGAACAAAGAGAUCAGCCCUUAUUAAAGAAGGUAUGGGGCAGAUAUGUCAAGAAGAAGGGGAAGAGGAAAAGGCUAGGAAAAGAAACUGGCAUAGUAAUUUAGGAAGUAGCUGGGAGAUUGAUAUUGGUGGGGAGUUCGACAAAGGUUAUUGCCAGUAAAAGCCAAUGUGGAAAAGAAGACAGGUCAGAUGGGGACCUUCUUGAGUAGAGCACAGAUCAGGAUAGUCUGGAAGUGUAUAAGGCCCGGUAUAAAGCCUGAAAUAAGACUGUGACUCUGAACGAGUCUCAUGGUGGACAGAUAAAUAAAGGAUCUCACUAGAAUGAUUAAAAAAGGAAU